UACGGACUGACGCCUGCCCAGUGCUGGAACGUUAAGGGGAGGGGUUAGCCCUGCUUGCAGGGCGAAGCUCUGAACUUAAGCGCCAGUAAACGGCUGCUGUAACUAUAACGGUACUAAGGUAGACGACCUGGCCGUGCACCAGGUCCUGCCCCUCGACGCGGCGACGCGUCGAGUGCAGUCGGCUAUAUGCUGGAAACCCCGAGUAUCCGGCGGUACUGGCUGUCCCACCCUCGAGCUAGGGUGCGGCCAUGCCCAGUGACAACCCGUCCGGUGCGGGCAAUCAGCAGGAAAGGCCAGGUCUCGAGCAGUGGGUCGUCGGCUUCGUCGACGGCGAAGGCUGUUUCUCGAUCUCGGUCGUGCGCAAUCCCGGGUGCCUCCUCGGCUGGCAGGUCCAGCACGAGUUCUCGGUCACCCAGGCCGCGCCGUCCCGGUCGGCGCUCGAACUCCUCCAGCAGGUGUUCGGGUGCGGGCAGAUCAUCGAGAACCGGCGCCACGACAACCAUCGCCACUCGCUGCUCCGCUUCUCGGUGAAGCGGAGGAGGGAGCUGGUCGAGGUCGUCGUGCCCUUCUUCGAAGCGUAUCCACUGGUCACCGCGAAACGCGCCGACUUCGAGUCAUUCGCCUCCGUCCUGCAGCUCAUGCAGGCGGGAGCGCACCUCUCCGAAGACGGCCUCCACCGGAUCGCCGCUCUUACCGAGCGGAUGAACCGGCGGGCGCGGUCUCGAUACCUGGAAUCCUCAGAGGCCAUACGCCGACCAGCUCGAUCCGACAUCGAGCUGAAGAUAUGGUCCUAGCCCCAUGGCGACAUGGGGAGCUCUAGAGCGAAAUUCCUUGUCGGGUAAGUUCCGACCUGCACGAAUGGCGUAACGACUUGGGCGCUGUCUCAACCAGUGACUCGGUGAAAUUGCAGUACGAGUAAAGAUGCUCGUUUCCCGCGGAAGGACGGAAAGACCCCGGGACCUUUACUAUAGUUUGGCGUUGGAGUCCGGCUCGGGUUGUGUAGGAUAGGUGGGAGACUGGGAAGCCGCCACGCUAGUGGUGGUGGAGUCGUCCUUGAAAUACCACCCUGCUCGUGUUGGGCUUCUAACCAGGGUCCGUGAAACCGGAUCUGGGACAGCGUCUGAUGGAUAGUUUAACUGGGGCGGUUGCCUCCCAAAGUGUAACGGAGGCGCCCAAAGGUUCCCUCAGCCUGGUUGGCAAUCAGGUGUCGAGUGCAAGUGCACAAGGGAGCUUGACUGUGAGACCGACGGGUCGAGCAGGAGCGAAAGCUGGGACUAGUGACCCGGCACCGGCAGGUGGAAGCGGUGUCGCUCAACGGAUAAAAGGUACCCCGGGGAUAACAGGCUCAUCUUCCCCAAGAGUCCAUAUCGACGGGAAGGUUUGGCACCUCGAUGUCGGCUCGUCGCAUCCUGGGGCUGAAGCAGGUCCCAAGGGUUGGGCUGUUCGCCCAUUAAAGCGGUACGCGAGCUGGGUUCAGAACGUCGUGAGACAGUUCGGUCCCUAUCUUCCGUGGGCGUUGGAGGCUUGAGAGGAGCGACUCCUAGUACGAGAGGACCGGAGUGGACGUACCUCUGGUGUACCGGUUGUCCUGCCAAGGGCACCGCCGGGUAGCUAUGUACGGAAGGGAUAACCGCUGAAAGCAUCUAAGCGGGAAGCUCGCCUCGAGAUGAGACCUCCCAUCCCCAUGAGGGAGUAAGACUCCUGGUAGACCACCAGGUUGAUAGGCCGCAGGUGUAAGCGUAGCGAUACGUUCAGCCGAGCGGUACUAAUAGGUCGAGGGCUUGAUGAU
rnacentral:rRNA from 1 species